rnacentral:rRNA from 1 species
GUUGUAUGGUUAAGUGACUAAGCGUACACGGUGGAUGCCUUGGCAGUCAGAGGCGAUGAAAGACGUAGUAACUUGCGAUAAGCCCAGAUUAGGUAGUAACAACCAUUUGAGUCUGGGAUUUCUGAAUGGGGAAACCCACGUGCAUAAGCACGUAUCCUUACCUGAAUACAUAGGGUAAGGAGGCGAACCGGGGGAACUGAAACAUCUAAGUACCCCGAGGAAAAGAAAUCAACCGAGAUUCCGAAAGUAGCGGCGAGCGAAAUUGGACUAGCCCUUAAGCUUUACACGCGUUAGACGAACGGUCUGGAAAGUCCGACGAUACAGGGUGAUAGUCCCGUAGUUGACGACGUGUGUUCAGUGAAAUCGAGUAGGGCGGGACACGUGAUAUCCUGUCUGAAUAUGGGGGGACCAUCCUCCAAGGCUAAAUACUACUGACUGACCGAUAGUGAACCAGUACCGUGAGGGAAAGGCGAAAAGAACCCCUGUGAGGGGAGUGAAAUAGAACCUGAAACCGUGUACGUACAAGCAGUAGGAGCAGGCUUUGUCCUGUGACUGCGUACCUUUUGUAUAAUGGGUCAGCGACUUAUAUUCAGUGGCAAGGUUAACCAUCUAGGGGAGCCGUAGGGAAACCGAGUCUUAACUGGGCGUUCAGUCUCUGGAUAUAGACCCGAAACCAGGUGAUCUAGCCAUGGGCAGGUUGAAGGUUGAGUAACAUCAACUGGAGGACCGAACCGACUAAUGUUGAAAAAUUAGCGGAUGACUUGUGGCUAGGGGUGAAAGGCCAAUCAAACCUGGAGAUAGCUGGUUCUCCCCGAAAGCUAUUUAGGUAGCGCCUCGGACGAAUACUACUGGGGGUAGAGCACUGUUAAGGCUAGGGGGUCAUCCCGACUUACCAACCCUUUGCAAACUCCGAAUACCAGUAAGUACUAUCCGGGAGACACACGGCGGGUGCUAACGUCCGUCGUGGAGAGGGAAACAACCCAGACCGCCAGCUAAGGUCCCAAAUUACUACUAAGUGGGAAACGAUGUGGGAAGGCUCAGACAGCCAGGAUGUUGGCUUAGAAGCAGCCAUCAUUUAAAGAAAGCGUAAUAGCUCACUGGUCGAGUCGGCCUGCGCGGAAGAUGUAACGGGGCUAAGUAGUAAACCGAAGCUGCGGCAAUGUGCUUUUGCACAUUGGGUAGGGGAGCGUUCUGUAAGCGGUUGAAGGUGUGUGGUAACGCAUGCUGGACGUAUCAGAAGUGCGAAUGCUGACAUGAGUAACGAUAAAGGGGGUGAAAAACCUCCUCGCCGGAAGACCAAGGGUUCCUGUCCAACGUUAAUCGGGGCAGGGUAAGUCGACCCCUAAGGCGAGGCCGAAAGGCGUAGUCGAUGGGAAACGGGUUAAUAUUCCCGUACUUCUUACAAUUGCGAUGGGGGGACGGAGAAGGCUAGGUGGGCCUGGCGACGGUUGUCCAGGUUCAAGUGCGUAGGCUUAAGAGUUAGGUAAAUCCGGCUCUUUCUAAGGCUGAGACACGACGUCGAGCACCUACGGGUGUGAAGUCAUUGAUGCCAUGCUUCCAGGAAAAGCCUCUAAGCUUCAGAUUGUAAGGAAUCGUACCCCAAACCGACACAGGUGGUCGGGUAGAGAAUACCAAGGCGCUUGAGAGAACUCGGGUGAAGGAACUAGGCAAAAUGGUACCGUAACUUCGGGAGAAGGUACGCUCUUGAUGGUGAAGUCCCUCGCGGAUGGAGCUGACGAGAGUCGCAGAUACCAGGUGGCUGCAACUGUUUAUUAAAAACACAGCACUGUGCAAAAUCGUAAGAUGACGUAUACGGUGUGACGCCUGCCCGGUGCCGGAAGGUUAAUUGAUGGGGUUAGACUUCGGUCGAAGCUCUUGAUCGAAGCCCCGGUAAACGGCGGCCGUAACUAUAACGGUCCUAAGGUAGCGAAAUUCCUUGUCGGGUAAGUUCCGACCUGCACGAAUGGCGUAAUGAUGGCCACGCUGUCUCCACCCGAGACUCAGUGAAAUUGAAAUCGCUGUGAAGAUGCAGUGUACCCGCGGCUAGACGGAAAGACCCCGUGAACCUUUACUACAGCUUGGCACUGAACAUUGACCCUACAUGUGUAGGAUAGGUGGGAGGCUUUGAAGCACGUACGCCAGUAUGUGUGGAGCCGUCCUUGAAAUACCACCCUUGUAGUGUUGAUGUUCUAACGUCGACCCCUAAUCGGGGUUGCGGACAGUGCCUGGUGGGUAGUUUGACUGGGGCGGUCUCCUCCCAAAGAGUAACGGAGGAGCACGAAGGUGGGCUAAUCACGGUUGGACAUCGUGAGGUUAGUGCAAUGGCAUAAGCCCGCUUGACUGCGAGAAUGACAAUUCGAGCAGGUGCGAAAGCAGGUCAUAGUGAUCCGGUGGUUCUGAAUGGAAGGGCCAUCGCUCAACGGAUAAAAGGUACUCCGGGGAUAACAGGCUGAUACCGCCCAAGAGUUCAUAUCGACGGCGGUGUUUGGCACCUCGAUGUCGGCUCAUCACAUCCUGGGGCUGAAGUCGGUCCCAAGGGUAUGGCUGUUCGCCAUUUAAAGUGGUACGCGAGCUGGGUUUAGAACGUCGUGAGACAGUUCGGUCCCUAUCUGCCGUGGGCGUUGGAAGAUUGAAGGGGGCUGCUCCUAGUACGAGAGGACCGGAGUGGACGAACCUCUGGUGUUCGGGUUGUGUCGCCAGACGCAUUGCCCGGUAGCUAAGUUCGGAAUCGAUAACCGCUGAAAGCAUCUAAGCGGGAAGCGAGCCCUGAGAUGAGUCUUCCCUGAUACUUUAAGUAUCCUAAAGGGUUGUCGGAGACUACGACGUUGAUAGGUCAGGUGUGUAAGUGCUGUGAGGCAUUGAGCUAACUGAUACUAAUUGCCCGUGAGGCUUAACCAUACAACACCCAAGGGGUUU